CCUCACACAUCGACGCAUGAUAAUUUGAUCGAAAAGGGACGGCAUGCUGAGGUGUACAAAAGACAGUUUGCUGAUGGACAGUUUGCUGAAGGAGUACUUAACCAAGCAUGCUGAGGUCCCGGUUGGUAUACUGCCAGCAGCCUUGCCGGUCCAAGCAAUCAAGAUCAUCAGCAAGUCAAUAACGGAGACGGUCGAGCACUGUCAUCACACUAAACCUGCAACACCAGUGAGAUGACUGAAGAUUGGGUUGUGGUUGGAGUGAGAGGAGAAGCAAAUCACUUGACCAGUUGAAUCCUUGGGUGUACAAGACGGCCGAGCUGUGGCAGGUGAAGGAGCCGCUGCCGCUGCCCGCGCCGAAGAAGCGCAACUGCUCCAUGGUGUUCACCCUCAACGAGAUGGAGGAGGCCACCGGCAUGUUCAGCGACAAGAACCUCAUAGGCAAGGGCGGCUUCGGCCGUGUUUACAGGGGCGUGCUCAAAGAUGGGCAGAUUCUCUUGAUUGGAGUGGAGAGGAGCAGAGACAAGAGGAUCAGCAGAAGUGGACAGCACAGCAGCUGACCUUGAGCUCUUGAUUGGAGUGGGGGGAGGCGGCCGGCGAAGGAUCUAUGGCCAACAAC